rnacentral:rRNA from 1 species
UUUGAUCCUGGCUCAGAGUGAACGCUGGCGGCAGGCCUAACACAUGCAAGUCGAACGGCAGCACAGAGGAGCUUGCUCCUUGGGUGGCGAGUGGCGGACGGGUGAGGAAUACGUCGGAAUCUGCCUAUUUGUGGGGGAUAACGUAGGGAAACUUACGCUAAUACCGCAUACGACCUACGGGUGAAAGCGGAGGACCUUCGGGCUUCGCGCAGAUAGAUGAGCCGACGUCGGAUUAGCUUGUUGGCGGGUAACGGCCCACCAAGGCGACGAUCCGUAGCUGGUCUGAGAGGAUGAUCAGCCACACUGGAACUGAGACACGGUCCAGACUCCUACGGGAGGCAGCAGUGGGGAAUAUUGGACAAUGGGCGCAAGCCUGAUCCAGCCAUGCCGCGUGAGUGAAGAAGGCCCUCGGGUUGUAAAGCUCUUUUGUCCGGAAAGAAAAGCGCUCGGUUAAUACCCAAGCGUCAUGACGGUACCGGAAGAAUAAGCACCGGCUAACUUCGUG